GACAGAGGGUGCAACCGUUGUUCGGAAUUACUGGGCGUAAAGCGCGUGUAGGUGGCAAGGCAAGUCGGGUGUGAAAGCCCCGGGCUCAACCCGGGAAGUGCAUUCGAUACUGCCAAGCUAGAGUCCCGGAGAGGAUGGUGGAACUCUCGGUGUAGAGGUGAAAUUCGUAGAUAUCGAGAAGAACACCGGUGGCGAAGGCGGCCAUCUGGACGGUGACUGACACUGAGACGCGAAAGCGUGGGGAGCAAACAGG
rnacentral:rRNA from 1 species